rnacentral:rRNA from 1 species
GACGAACGCUGGCGGCGUGCUUAACACAUGCAAGUCGAACGGAAAGGCCCUGCUUGCAGGGUACUCGUGUGGCGAACGGGUGAGUAACACGUGGGGGAUCUGCCCUGCACUUCGGGAUAAGCCUGGGAAACUGGGUCUAAUACCGGAUAGGAGCCAUUUUUAGUGUGAUGGUUGGAAAGUUUUUUCGGUGUAGGAUGAGCUCGCGGCCUAUCAGCUUGUUGGUGGGGUAAUGGCCUACCAAGGCGGCGACGGGUAGCCGGCCUGAGAGGGUGGACGGCCACAUUGGGACUGAGAUACGGCCCAGACUCCUACGGGAGGCAGCAGUGGGGAAUAUUGCACAAUGGGCGCAAGCCUGAUGCAGCGACGCCGCGUGGGGGAUGACGGACUUCGGGUUGUAAACUCCUUUCGCUAGGGACGAAGCUUUUUGUGACGGUACCUAGAGAAGAAGCACCGGCUAACUACGUG